rnacentral:rRNA from 1 species
CAUGUCAGUCGAGCGACUGAUUAGAAGCUUGCUUCUAUGACGUUAGCGGCGGACGGGUGAGUAACACGUGGGCAACCUGCCUGUAAGACUGGGAUAACUUCGGGAAACCGAAGCUAAUACCGGAUAGGAUCUUCUCCUUCAUGGGAGAUGAUUGAAAGAUGGUUUCGGCUAUCACUUACAGAUGGGCCCGCGGUGCAUUAGCUAGUUGGUGAGGUAACGGCUCACCAAGGCAACGAUGCAUAGCCGACCUGAGAGGGUGAUCGGCCACACUGGGACUGAGACACGGCCCAGACUCCUACGGGAGGCAGCAGUAGGGAAUCUUCCGCAAUGGACGAAAGUCUGACGGAGCAACGCCGCGUGAGUGAUGAAGGCUUUCGGGUCGUAAAACUCUGUUGUUAGGGAAGAACAAGUACGAGAGUAACUGCUCGUACCUUGACGGUACCUAACCAGAAAGCCACGGCUAACUACGUGCCAGCAGCCGCGGUAAUACGUAGGUGGCAAGCGUUAUCCGGAAUUAUUGGGCGUAAAGCGCGCGCAGGCGGUUUCUUAAGUCUGAUGUGAAAGCCCACGGCUCAACCGUGGAGGGUCAUUGGAAACUGGGGAACUUGAGUGCAGAAGAGAAAAGCGGAAUUCCACGUGUAGCGGUGAAAUGCGUAGAGAUGUGGAGGAACACCAGUGGCGAAGGCGGCUUUUUGGUCUGUAACUGACGCUGAGGCGCGAAAGCGUGGGGAGCAAACAGGAUUAGAUACCCUGGUAGUCCACGCCGUAAACGAUGAGUGCUAAGUGUUAGAGGGUUUCCGCCCUUUAGUGCUGCAGCUAACGCAUUAAGCACUCCGCCUGGGGGAGUACGGUCGCAAGACUGAAACUCAAAGGAAUUGACGGGGGCCCCGCACCAGCCGGUGGAGCAUGUGGUUUAUUCCGAAGCAACSCCGAAGAACCUUACCAGGUCCUUGACAUCCUCUGACAACUCUAGAAGAUAAAUCGUUCCCCUUCGGCGGGACCAGAGUGACCAGGUGGUGCAUCGCUUGUCCGUUCCAUCCUCCCAUCAUGAAGAAUGUAAGUUUAAGUUCCCSCACCCAGCGCAACCUUUGACUCUUA